AUGCAAGUCGAGCGGACAGAUUGGAGCUUGCUCCCUGAUGUUAGCGGCGGACGGGUGAGUAACACGUGGGUAACCUGCCUGUAAGGCUGGGAUAACUCCGGGAAACCGGGGCUAAUACCGGAUGGUUGUCUGAACCGCAUGGUUCAGACAUAAAAUGUGGCUUCGGCUACCACUUACAGAUGGGCCCGCGGCGCAUUAGCUAGUUGGUGAGGUAACGGCUCACCAAGGCGACGAUGCGUAGCCGACCUGAGAGGGUGAUCGGCCACACUGGGACUGAGACACUGCCCAGACUCCUACGGGAGGCAGCAGUAGGGAAUCUUCCGCAAUGGGCGAAAGUCUGACGGAGCAACGCCGCGUGAGUGAUGAAGGUUUUCGGAUCGUAAAGCUCUGUUGUCAGGGAAGAACAAGUGCCGUUCAAAUAGGGCGGCACCUUGACGGUACCUAGCCAGAAAGCCACGGCUAACUACGUGCCAGCAGCCGCGGUAAUACGUAGGUGGCAAGCGUUGUCCGGAAUUAUUGGGCGUAAAGAGCUCGCAGGCGGUUUCUUAAGUCUGAUGUGAAAGCCCCGGGCUCAACCGGGGAGGGUCAUUGGAAACUGGGGAACUUGAGUGCAGAAGAGGAGAAUGGAAUUCCACGUGUAGCGGUGGAAUGCGUAGAGAUGUGGAGGAACACCAGUGGCGAAAGCGACUCUCUGGUCUGUAACUGACGCUGAGGAGCGAAAGCGUGGGGAGCGAACAGGGUUAGAUACCCUGGUAGUCCACGCCGUAAACGAUGAGUGCU
rnacentral:rRNA from 1 species